GAGACGGGAUUACCGGGAAGGCCGCACCCAAGCAGCUCGGCUCAUAUCAAGGGAGGAAGCUUUUCUCACAACCCUAUCAAAAAGCUGCUUUUGUCUUUCUCUUCCUACUCCACUGACUACAUCCAGAAAAUAUCUAGAAAAGGAGGGAAAGAAAGCCUGAAGAAAGCUUCUAGAGAAGAUUUAAAAAGAGAUCCCUAGAAACAAGUGUUGCCCUUGUCCUCCAUUCACACAGAUGGACAGACUUGGAAGCCCCUGGAAGUCAUGACAAACCCACCAGCAGCCCCUCACUAAAGAGAGGGUGACUCUUUGAGCUAACAAGCCUCCAAACUCAAAGGAAGAUCCUUCUUUCUGAGGAGUUUACUUGGCUUAGGCCCUGGUGAUACAGCAGUGAACAAAAC